rnacentral:rRNA from 1 species
AUUGAACGCUGGCGGCAGGCCUAACACAUGCAAGUCGAACGCUCCGCAAGGAGAGUGGCAGACGGGUGAGUAACACGUGGGAAUCUUCCUAUUGGUUCGGAAUAGCUCAGGGAAACUUGGGGUAAUACCGGAUAAGCCCGAAAGGGGAAAGAUUUAUCGCCGAUAGAUGAGCCCGCGUCUGAUUAGCUAGUUGGUGAGGUAAUGGCUCACCAAGGCGACGAUCAGUAGCUGGUCUGAGAGGAUGACCAGCCACACUGGGACUGAGACACGGCCCAGACUCCUACGGGAGGCAGCAGUGGGGAAUAUUGGACAAUGGGCGCAAGCCUGAUCCAGCCAUGCCGCGUGAGUGACGAAGGUCUUCGGAUUGUAAAGCUCUUUUGCCAGGGACGAUAAUGACGGUACCUGGAGAAUAAGCCCCGGCUAACUUCGUGCCAGCCGCCGCCGUAACAC